rnacentral:rRNA from 1 species
CUACCAUGGCGUUUACGGGUAACGGAGGAUUAGGGUUCGAUUCCGGAGAGGGAGCCUGAGAAACGGCUACCACAUCUAAGGAAGGCAGCAGGCGCGUAAAUUACCCAAUCCUGAUUCAGGGAGGUAGUGACAAGAAAUAACGGACCGUUAGCCUUCGGGCGGCGGGACUGCAAUGAGCCGAAUUUACACCCCUUAGCGAGGACCAAUUGGAGGGCAAGUCUGGUGCCAGCAGCCGCGGUAAUUCCAGCUCCAAUAGCGUAUAUUAAAGUUGUUGCAGUUAAAAAGCUCGUAGUUGGAUUUCUGCCAGGGUGCCAAUGUCCGCCGAAGUGCGUGCGCAGCGGCGCCCUCGCAUCCUUCUGUUAACGCCUCUCGGCAUUUACUUGCCGGUGGUGGGCUCAGAUAAUUUACCUUGAGAAAAUUAGAGUGUUUCAGGCAGGCUAGGCCGGAAUACAUUAGCAUGGAAUAAUGGAAUAGGACUACGGUCUCGUUGUUGGUUUGAGGGACUGGAGUAAUGAUUAAUAGGGAUAGUUGGGGGCAUUAGUAUUUAAUUGUCAGAGGUGAAAUUCUCAGAUUUGUUAAAGACUAACUUAUGCGAAAGCAUUUGCCAAGGAUGUUUUCAUUAAUCAA